rnacentral:rRNA from 1 species
AACGAACGCUGGCGGCAGGCUUAACACAUGCAAGUCGAGCGCCCCGCAAGGGGAGCGGCAGACGGGUGAGUAACGCGUGGGAACAUGCCCAAAGGUACGGAACAACUCCGGGAAACUGGAGCUAAUACCGUAUGUGCCCUUCGGGGGAAAGAUUUAUCGCCUUUGGAUUGGCCCGCGUCUGAUUAGCUAGUUGGUGGGGUAACGGCCUACCAAGGCGACGAUCAGUAGCUGGUCUGAGAGGAUGAUCAGCCACACUGGGACUGAGACACGGCCCAGACUCCUACGGGAGGCAGCAGUGGGGAAUAUUGGACAUGGGCGCAAGCCUGAUCCAGCCAUGCCGCGUGAGUGAUGAAGGCCUUAGGGUUGUAAAGCUCUUUCGCCAGGGACGAUAAUGACGGUACCUGGAUAAGAAGCCCCGGCUAACUUCGUGCCAGCCGCCGCAGUAACAC